GACGAACCGUGCGAACGUUGUUCGGAAUCACUGGGCUUAAAGGGCGCGUAGGCGGACCGGCGAGUCAGGGGUGAAAGCCCACGGCCUAACCGUGGAAGUGCCCCUGAUACCGCCGGCCUUGAGGGGGAUAGGGGCGCGCGGAACUUCGGGUGGAGCGGUGAAAUGCGUAGAUAUCCGAAAGAACACCAACGGCGAAAGCACUCUGCUGGGCCGACACUGACACUGAGAGACGAAAGCUAGGGGAGCGAAUGGG
rnacentral:rRNA from 1 species